GGUGAGUUCGUUUAACGGUUAGGAUUCCGGCCUGUCACGCCGGGGACACGGGUUCGAUUCCCGUACUCACCGCCA
rnacentral:tRNA from 1 species